rfam:Brachypodium distachyon strain Bd21 chromosome 3, whole genome shotgun sequence.
UUUAUACUUCCUCUGUCCCAUAUUAAGUGACGAGAUAUUACAUGUAUCUAGACGCUUUUUGGAUAUAAAUACAUCCAUAUUUGCACAAAUUUGAGUCACUUAAUAUGGGACGGAGGGAGUAGAUU